GCCCGGCUAGCUCAGGGGAAGAGCGUCUCGUUUACACCGAGAGGGUCGGCGGUUCGAAACCGUCGCUGGGCACCG
rnacentral:tRNA from 1 species